AGCCAGACUCCUACGGGAGGCAGCAGUGGGGAAUAUUGCACAAUGGGGGAAACCCUGAUGCAGCGACGCCGCGUGAGCGAUGAAGUAUUUCGGUAUGUAAAGCUCUAUCAGCAGGGAAGAAGAUGACGGUACCUGACUAAGAAGCCCCGGCUAACUACGUGCCAGCAGCCGCGGUAAUACGUAGGGGGCAAGCGUUAUCCGGAUUUACUGGGUGUAAAGGGAGCGUAGACGGCGAUGCAAGCCAGAUGUGAAAGCCCGGGGCUCAACCCCGGGACUGCUCUGGGAACUGUGCGGCUGGAGUGCGGGAGGGGCAGGCGGAAUUCCUGGUGUAGCGGUGAAAUGCGUAGAUAUCAGGAGGAACACCGGCGGCGAAGGCGGCCUGCUGGACCGCGACUGACGUUGAGGCUCGAAAGCGUGGGGAGCAAACAGGAUUAGAUACCCUUGUAA
rnacentral:rRNA from 1 species